rnacentral:rRNA from 1 species
CCUACGGGUGGCAGCAGUGAGGAAUAUUGGUCAAUGGGCGCGAGCCUGAACCAGCCAAGUAGCGUGAAGGUCAGUGCCCUAUGGGCUUUAAACUUCUUUUGUGCGGGAGCAAUAAUGGUCACGUGUGGCCAGACGAGAGUACCGUACGAAUAAGCAUCGGCUAACUCCGUGCCAGCAGCCGCGGUAAUACGGGGGAUGCAGGCGUUAUCCGGAUUUUUUGGGUUUAAAGGGUGCGUAGGCUGUUAGGUAAGUCAGCGGUGAAAUGCCCGCGCUCAACGGGGUGAAGUGCCAUUGAUACUGCCUUGCUGGAAUGCAGAUGCGGUGGGCGGAAUGUGUGGUGUAGCGGUGAAAUGCAUAGAUAUCACACAGAACACCGAUUGCGAAGGCAUCUCACGAAUCCGCGAUUGACGCUGAUGCACGAAAGCGUGGGUAUCAAACAGGAUUAGAUACCCUAGUAGUC